rnacentral:rRNA from 1 species
GACAGAGGGUGCAAACGUUGUUCGGAAUUACUGGGCGUAAAGCGCGUGUAGGCGGCUAUGUAAGUCGGGCGUGAAAUCCCACGGCUCAACCGUGGAAGUGCACUCGAAACUGCAUAGCUAGAGUCCUGGAGAGGAAGGUGGAAUGCGUGGUGUAGAGGUGAAAUUCGUAGAUAUCAAGCGGAACACCGGUGGCGAAGGCGGCCUUCUGGACAGUGACUGACGCUGAGACGCGAAAGCGUGGGGAGCAAACAGG